UGUAAGAGUCAGUGAAUGAAAUCACUUACAUUAAUGAAAAGUUAGAUCAGUAGUUAAAAAUAAAAAUACUCAUACUUUAUAAAGCACUGGUGCCACAUGAAGUGUUCAGAAGAGAUAGAGUAUGCUUCAAGUUUUGAAGGGUGAGAAUUAAAUUUGUUACUGGUGUUUCGGCAAAUAAAAAAUUUUGACAACAGGAGUGUUACAACUUGUGUAGAUAUAGCCAGCUGAAGUGAAACCAGAUGCCUCACAGGUGAAGGUCUUGGCUGAUUUUUAAAAAGCUGGAUUUAGUAUUACAUCAACACAGAGAGCUACAUUUGCCUGACUGUCAAUGGUACAAGAUAUGGAAAAAGAUUCUUCGACUGAUGACUUGCAAAAAAGUCUGUUACAUCACUGGCGAAUGGUGCUGAAAGGUUUGCGUACUAGUUCAAUGUCACUUGGAAUUGAGCCAAACCAUUUUGGAUAUCAAGUGUAGGUAAUAUUGAGGACAGUGCCCAAAGUGUUCAAAGGGUGUGCACAGGUAUCAUGAUAAAAACAACUCUACAGAGAAAAGUUUUUUAUCAUUUUCUAAAAUAACUGUGCUUUAACAAAUGGGAUGUAUGUGUAUUACACAAUAGGACACGUAUAUGCACCAUGAAAGGUUUGCUGGUUCCAACAACCACUAAAGAUUUUCCUACAAAUCUUCAAUUUGCAUCAGAAAGUAGAGGACCUGACAGUGUGAAAAAUGCGACGAGUCUUCAACAUGCGUCUUCUUUCACAGUAGCCUCAGGGCUUAUUGGAGGCUCCAUUACUGCAGUUGUAUUUCUGAUAAUUAUUGUUAUAGCUUCAAUGUGCUGGAAGAGCCGAAGCAGUUCCGGGUCUUGUUUUGGUGGUGACGGUGACAGAAGAGUUCGGGAAAGACACACAGUGUUUGUACUUGGCAAUAGGAGGCAGCAUCAGCCCAAUGAAGAAGCAAGACAGUAUGGUUCCAGUUCUGUUACAAACAAUGAUGUUUCCAGCAGCUCACGAGAACAUAGAAUAACUGUGGAUACAUAUGAUGAGACAAUACAGGAAAUAACUUGAAGAAAACAAGCUAUUAGUGUUAAAAUGAAGUGAAUUUACAAGGCUCAGGUUCAGUUACGCAUGACUAAAGGAUAGAACUAUAAAUGACAAUUCUUAGAAUAUGAGGCAGUUGCCAAUGUCCUGAGCCUAAGCACCAUAGAAAGAAAAGAAUCAACCCAAAUGAAAGUCAAUCAAAAACUUUCAUUUAGUCUGACAGUGAAGUUACAACUAACAAAAUUGCAUGCUACUAAUGGGAUUCCUGCACCUCAAGCUUCUGGGAUUCAUCGUGCACGCCUUUUUCAGUAAGUGAAAUGUUAGACUAACAAUAAAUGGAAAAGCAGGACUUGAUGUUAACGGAGUUCCCAAUAAUCUUUGCAUCUCAGGAUGGUUUUCUACAGCUGUAUUCAUAACUGUUCAUUUACACUGGGAUCCCACACACCUCCUUGGUCCAACUGACAUCAGAAUUCAGUCAGAUCCCAAGACACUUCAGAGUUUUUCAAAAAUCCCUACCUAUACUGGGAUUCACACUCACCUUGCUAAAAGUUUAGCCAAACGCAUGAAGUCAACUAUGCAAUAUUGGUCUUAGAGCAUAAGUGGUCCCAAGUUAAUGUAGCUGACAUUCCUAAAUGAGCCACUAUCACUACUGACAAGACAAAAUUCACUCUUCUGGUGCUUACUUAAUACCCCAUCUACUCCAUUUUUCUAGACAAGCAGUGGAUUGGGGGUUUCUGAGAGCAUUUCAGAUAGCACAUUGCAACUGGAAACAGGUGAGGGGCUAUAUGAGCAUGCACACUCAGGACACCAGAAAAGGAACCCUACCAGCCAAUUAUCUGUCAACAUGUGUGUUUCCUUUUAUUGUUCAAAAUGUACCUGAUAAGGUUGCUGUGAUGUUUUUGUAUUGUAGAUGAUGAUCCAAAUAAACAGUUUUUCACAGAAGGUAAAAAAUCUGGAGGAAUAGUGCAGUGCAUGACGCAAUAUUUUUGUAUGCUCAUGGUCUCCUGUGCAGCACAUACACGAUUGAUAAAACAGUAAUUGGGGACCUGGAUUUUUAGCCAAGGGAAUUGGAUUCACUUCUUUGUACACAAAAGCAAUUCAAAUUUUAUACAAGCAAUUAGAAUCGGAGAAAAUUUGACUUUCCAAAUGGCAAUGUGAAAGGAGCAUAAAAAGCAUAAAGUAACAAUGCAAGUGGCCUAUUACUGCAACAUUCUUUGUGAAACUAAGCUUAGGCUACUUCAUUUCUUUAAUACUCUAUUACCUAAGACUCAUUUUUAACUGCAGUCAUUCUGUGAGAUGCCCAUCUUGUGAUGUCAGUGAAACUAUAGAAAGGAAAUUUUGGAAGUUCUAAAAAGAAAAAUGUUUCUUAUCAGGUAGUUAAUGUGUAGGUUUCAAAAAAAGUCCCAGUCUAUGUUAAAUACCUUAACUGCUGAAUGAGAAUUAAGGUACGCCAAUUACACAACUGUUUAUACCUUGUAAAAUUCCCUUGUGCCAAAUGCAAUGCAAGUGUUGAAUAAAUGUCCCAGAAAAUGGUCACACAUUACAAAUAGUGUUGUCUGAGAAAAGACACUACCAGCUUAUGUAAGUUAAUAUAGCGAUGUCAGGUAAUCAGUGUUAAGGCAAGUUCACACAGGACUGAUUUAGACCAGAAAUGGUGGUAGGCAAGUUCACACAGGACUGAUUUAGACCAGAAAUGGUAAUGCCAGCCUGUGACCAGAUUGAAAACUAUAUAUGUAUACUUUGCAGCAAGGGUCCCAAUAUAAUCUGCUGAUUAAAAUAAGUAAAUUUUCUAAGUAAGACCUGAUAUGACCAUGCCAAAAGUUCUGAAUAAAAAACCUGCAUCAAUUUUACGCCCACUGUUAUAUUAGCUGUAGAGGGUCUGAGAUUGUGCUGAGAUUAACCACAUUACACAUCUACAAGUAAUGUUAUCUUUACAAGACUAUCCAUUUAUUUACUUCUUGCCUGUAACAAGUUAAAAUUUUUUUCAGAAUCUCACUUAUUUAUCAAAUCCUAAUUUCUGUCAUGUCAAAAUACCCCAUUGUUAUAUUUAGUUUGGUGUAUCUGACUUAACAAGAACUCCCUGUGCUAGGGUCUGCUUGAUACAACAUGGCACUAUGGAAGAUUUUUGUGCUGAGGAGUUAAUAUUACUACCCUCAAGGUUAUGUUAAUAGAUUCCUCCCCUGUGUCUAGGCCUACAGUAAUAAGCAGAGCAAAAGACUCAUGAUGGACUGCCCAAUGCAUUCACCAAGGACAAGUGAUAUUGUUUUCACCCAGCUUAAUCUGAUAAGGUUGCCACUUCAGCAAGAAUUCAAAACUGGGUUACAAAAAAGUCACUGUAUGAUAUAGAUGAUAAUACACUUAUCACUUGAGCCAUAUAAUUGGCACAGCUUGAGGUUAAGCAUAAUAUUGUAUAUGUAACAAACUUCAUAACUAAAAUAAAAUACAAUGCAAUAGAGCAA